CUCCUGGGGAAUCCCGUCUUCAUAAGGGCGGGGCAGGCCCAUGGCGGCCCCUUCCGCUCAGCCAGCCUGCAGUCGUCACGGAAACCGCCGCCACGGUCUCCAGGAGCCAGGGCUCUCCCUCCUUCCCGCGCGAGGGGAGGAAAUAACGACCAAUGGCACAGCGGGAUUCCUGUGACGUCAACUGCAGCUGGGUGGGUGUUGGCGGCGAGCGGAGCGCGGCGAGCGGAACCCGGAGCCGGGGGUUGGAAAGAGUGGUGAGGGUUGAAAUGAUGUGAGGAUUGAGAAUACAGAUGGCUGUGCCUCCCUCCCCUCCCACCUUCAGCCGCUCCAGGCUGUUGUCCCCACCAGCUGCAUGCAGGAGUGCUGGAGCAGGACUGGUACGUAUCUCCUGGGACUACUCCAAGAGGCCACGGUCAAUGACAGCCCAACAACGAACAGAGUCCUGCCACCCUCCUGAUACCGGGACUUUGUGACUCCUCUGGCCAACAGAAUGAGGUGCCUCUCCCCUGAAGUGAUUAAGAGAUGCUGAAACUAUAAGGACAUAAAUAUUUUCGACUAAGAGAAAAUGAGAAAAUUAAAGGGAUUAUCAGAAUGACAAAUCAGCAAAGUUCGACUUUGCAGGGCUCUGUGUGAUGUCUGUGCCUGAAGGCACACCUGGGCAAUGGCUUCUUUUCAGAUUAUUCUAUUUGGGGUGUCUUAGACCACACCUCCUGAUGCCACCCCUACCUGCACUGCUGCUGAGUGCUCAUCGUGUGCCCAGUGCUGCCGACGUCCUAGCUGCUUUACGUCCGUCAUCACAACUAAUCCUUACCCCCAAACCUACCAGCUUCCUUCAUGAUCAACAGCUGGAGCUAAGAUGCUAACAACUCAUCACCUGCUCACUGAUCACCAGGAAUAUGAGACUGGCACAUGUAUUUAUGACUCCAGCACUUCUGCUCAUGUGUAUAUAUAGUCAUUAAUUUAUUUCUUAAUAAAUAAUACCUACUCUGAGUAUAGAAAUAUUCUUAAUACAUAAGUUAUUCUGAGUCAGGGGCUACAGGAAGGCAAAUACUAAAAUUAGGGUGGUUGAUGCUAUCAGAAACAUGGCCACAGAAGACCUGCACCUAUUUGGUUCAGAGGUAAGAAGACAAUAUCUGUUAGUAAGUUGGUUUAUUAGCUACUUUCCUGGAUGUUAGAGAAAGGUAAUGCCAUGUCUAUAAUUUUUUUCAUACACAUUUUGUUUAAUGUGAUGUUCCCUUUAAACAGAGUUUUAGAGGCUAUGAUAGACUUUAGAAUAGGAAAUUACCUUUACAAAGUGGUCCGACUUUCUUCACUUUUGACAUGAGUGAGAACCAAAAAAGGUUAAGUUUCCUAAGUUUUCUCAAAGUUAGAAACAUUUACUAAUCAUGCACUGUAUGUUGUAGGCUAGCGACUGUGCAACAGCCGGAUACCAGGGAUACUAAGAUGGGUAGGAAUGGGUCCUGCUUUCAAGUAGUUAACCUUAUGAGGAAAAACACAUAAAUCAAGCUUAUUCCAAGAGUACUCAGUGUGCUCUUGGAGCUGUUGCAGGUACCCUGCAUGCACAGAUGAGGACAGUGGGUUCUGCCUUGGUGACAGGUGAUGGGAGGGCCGCCUAAAGAGAGGAGCUGACGUUUGUGCUGUGCUUUACAGGUUAGACCAUGUGAGUGCCUCCUGUAACGAUAAGACCCUCUCAAAAAUGCUGAGUCACUAGGACCAUUUUUAUUUAUGGGAAGGGCAACACAUUGGAGGUACAACACAAGAGUAAUGAUCAUUCACUUAUUUCUGUAAAGCAAACAACCAAAAUUCUUUUGUCAUAAAAAUACCUAGUCCCUUAAGUUACUACUUUGGCUUUGGUGACUAUGGUGACAAAAAGCUAUUCCAUUGCCUAGAACAGGACCUGCUACAUAAUAAGCACUCGUUCUUGUUGAAUGAAUAAACAUUGACAUUUCUGUAACUUCUAACAUGUCUCCCAGGAUUAUAAAUUACAGGGUCUGCCCUUUAUCACAUACAGAGCGCCUUCCUUAUAGAAACCAACAAACUUAAUUUUAUAAAUAAAUCUGUAUUUUAAAAGUUUCUCAAUGAUAAGCUUUUUUGCAAAGAAUGUUCUCUCAGAAUCCUUUAAGUUCUUGAGACUUUCAAAUGUACAUAAAAAGGAACGCUUUGUAUAAGCCCAAGCUCAGGUUUCUGCUCCACCACCUGGAAUGACUUCUUCCCUUCUGUGGAAACCCUCCUUACCCCUUAGGCUCCUCUGUUUCAGAAAGGCCUCCCAGCCCCUCUCCUCUCCCGGGUCCGCUGUAGCGAUCAUCACUGCCCAUGUCUCCUACUUAGUCACUAACUUGCUCUUGGUAUCAUGCCUAUUUCAACUAGGCUGUGUCAAUCUUGAAAACAGUGGAUAGAUCACAUGCUUCUUUUGUCCCCCCAUAUCAAAGCAAACAACUACAUAAAUAAAAAAUAAACUUUAAAAAUACUUUUAAUCAUGCAUGUAGCAUUUGAGAUGACUGAAAAACUUUAUUCUGUAUUUCUCUUAGAUAUAGAGAGAGUCCCUCUGCCCUUUACCAAGACCUAACCUGCAAACCAAAUGGAUGAUUGGUUUUGAUAAGCAAAUAGUAAAUAAGAUAUACAAAAUACUAUAUAAGACAAUCUAGUGUGCCAAUCUAUGACAUUAUUAUUUCUAUUAAAAAUUUCAGUCCAUGCUGCCAGGGCAUCUACAGUGGGAAGGACGGCAGUGUGCCUGCUGAGUGUUACACGGGUGCUAUGAAACUAGUGACUAACACAGGAGAUUUAAAAUCUAGGUCAGAGUUCCAUUAUGUGAUCUGACUGUCAGCUCUUAUGGCAGAAGGAGCACUGUACUCCAAAGCAAAAUACUUCAGUAAUGCAUAGAGACUUAAGGUACUGAGGCGCUCACAGACUCACGCGCCCACGCAGCCGACACUGGGAUGGCUGGAAGGCAAUGCAAGGUAUACCAAAUGUCUGUGUAGGAGACACAGCAGACGGAGUCAUAUACUGGUAUCAGAGAGGAAAUACACACAAUUAGACACAGAAGAAAGACUAAGAAGUAAGAACCUCCAGUUGCCCACUUGUUUCUGGGGAAGAAACUGUUGUGCAGUGUAUCAGGAACGACAUAA